rnacentral:rRNA from 1 species
GUGCAGCAGUCGCGAAUACUUUACAAUGUGCGAAAGCACGAUAAGGGAACUCUGAGUGCCUCCUAAGGAGGCUGUUCAGGUGUCUAGAAAGCACCUGAAGGAAGGGCUGGGUAAGACCGGUGCCAGCCGCCGCGGUAACACCGGCAGCCCAAGUGGUAGCCACGUUUAUUGGGUCUAAAGCGUCCGUAGCCGGCUGGGUAAGUUCCUUGGGAAAUUUGGCUGCUUAACAGUCAAGCUUUCAGGGAAUACUGCCCGGCUUGGGGACUGGGAGAGGUCAGAGGUACUCCAGGGGUAGGGUGAAAUCCAUUAAUCCUUGGGGGACCACCGGUAGCGAAGGCGUCUGACCAGACCGGGUCCGACGGUGAGGGACGAAGGCUA